rnacentral:rRNA from 1 species
GACGAACCGGGCGAACGUUGUUCGGAAUCACUGGGCUUAAAGGGUGCGUAGGCGGGUUGUUCAGUCUGGGGUGAAAUCCCACGGCUCAACCGUGGAAUUGCCUCAGAUACUGACGACCUCGAGGGAGGUAGGGGCGAGCUGAACUGUGGGUGGAGCGGUGAAAUGCGUUGAUAUCCACAGGAACUCCGGUGGCGAAGGCGGCUCGCUGGUCCGCUUCUGAAGCUGAGGCACGAAAGCUAGGGGAGCAAACGGG